rfam:Jejuia pallidilutea DNA, contig: NODE_1_1/1, strain: JCM 19538.
GCUGAAGUGGUGGAAUUGGUAGACACGUUGGACUUAAAAUCCAAUGGACAUUUAGUCCGUGCGGGUUCAAGUCCCGCCUUCAGUA